AUGAACGCUGGCGGCGUGCCUAAUACAUGCAAGUCGAGCGAACGGACGAGAAGCUUGCUUUUCUGAUGUUAGCGGCGGACGGGUGAGUAACACGUGGAUAACCUACCUAUAAGACUGUGAUAACUUCGGGAAACCGGAGCUAAUACCGGAUAAUAUUUUGAACCGCAUGGUUCAAAAGUGAAAGACGGUCUUGCUGUCACUUAUAGAUGGAUCCGCGCUGCAUUAGCUAGUUGGUAAGGUAACGGCUUACCAAGGCAACGAUGCAUAGCCGACCUGAGAGGGUGAUCGGCCACACUGGAACUGAGACACGGUCCAGACUCCUACGGGAGGCAGCAGUAGGGAAUCUUCCGCAAUGGGCGAAAGCCUGACGGAGCAACGCCGCGUGAGUGAUGAAGGUCUUCGGAUCGUAAAACUCUGUUAUUAGGGAAGAACAUAUGUGUAAGUAACUGUGCACAUCUUGACGGUACCUAAUCAGAAAGCCACGGCUAACUACGUG
rnacentral:rRNA from 1 species